rnacentral:rRNA from 1 species
GUCGAGAAUCUUUCACAAUGGGGGCAACCCUGAUGGAGCGACGCCGCGUGGAGGAUAAGGUCUUCGGAUUGUAAACUCCUGUCAUGCGUGAACAAGGUUGCUUGGUUAAUACCUGGGCAAAUUGAUGGUAACGCAAGAGGAAGAGACGGCCAACUCUGUGCCAGCAGCCGCGGUAAUACAGAGGUCUCAAGCGUUGUUCGGAAUCACUGGGCGUAAAGGGUGCGUAGGUGGCGUGGUAAGUCAGAUGUGAAAGCCCGGGGCUCAACCUCGGAACUGCAUCCGAUACUGCCAUGCUAGAGUACUGGAGAGGUGACUAGAAUUCUCGGUGUAGCAGUGAAAUGCGUAGAUAUCGAGAGGAAUACCAAAGGCGUAGGCAGGUCACUGGACAGUUACUGACACUGAGGCACGAAGGCCAGGGGAGCGAACGGGAUUAGAAACCCCUGUAGUCC